rnacentral:rRNA from 1 species
UGAGGAAUAUUGGUCAAUGGACGAGAGUCUGGACCAGCCAAAUCGCGUGAAGGAAGACUGCCCUACGGGUUGUAAACUUCUUUUGUACAGGAAUAAAAGACAUUACGUGUAAUGUAUUGCAUGUACUGUACGAAUAAGCAUCGGCUAACUCCGUGCCAGCAGCCGCGGUAAUACGGAGGAUGCGAGCGUUAUCCGGAUUUAUUGGGUUUAAAGGGUGCGCAGGCGGGAUUUUAAGUCAGCGGUGAAAUUUUCAGGCUCAACCUGAACACUGCCGUUGAAACUGGGAUUCUUGAGUAUGGAUGAAGUAGGCGGAAUUCGUUGUGUAGCGGUGACAUGCUUAGAUAUAACGAGGAACUCCCAUUCCGUAGGCAGCUUACUAAGCCAUAACUGACGCUCAAGCACGAAAGCGUGGGGA